GGGUCGUUAGCUCAGUUGGUAGAGCAGGAGACUUUUAAUCUCUUGGUCGCAGGUUCGAAUCCUGCACGACCCACCA
rnacentral:tRNA from 1 species